AGCUCUUGGCCGAAAAGUUUCCAUUGUUUUAAUAAACCCCUCCGAUGUGGUGCUCUCCGUCAGGCCCUCGGCAAGCGUUUGCGACGGUUUGCUUAUUCGCCGCUGGCACGGCCUUCUUCGCCGCUGGUGCCCAUCUCUCCUACGUCAACGUCGAGCCACAGCGUGCUCGCACCAUCGCCCGCGACAAUCUCCUCCGUGAAUACCUCCGCAAUAAGUACGGCUACGGCGAGAAGUAGCUUCUUCUUGUUCCUACAUGAGUUUCUCUCCAAUCGCACAUCCGUGCCAUGCUAGGUCGUUACUACCUGGAUCCAGCGCAAUGGUGGGUACUGGAAGCCCUUGAGGGUCAAUUGUGGGUUAUAUGUGCUAUCUGUAACAUUCAAUUUAAAAGUUAUUUUUUUGUUAGCACGAAGAGAGCAGAGAUCAACUAUUUGCUUCAAGCAUCUUACAUGCUAAUGUAAAUACUGCAGUUGUAGAUGGCCAUUUUUAUUAUCAUUGGAAAUUCAUUAACUUCAUUUCUUUCA